GACGAACGCUGGCGGCGUGCUUAUCACAUGCAAGUCGAGCGGUAAGGCCCUUUCGGGGGUACACGAGCGGCGAACGGGUGAGUAACACGUGGGUGACCUGCCCUCAGCUCUGGGAUAAGCCUGGGAAACCGGGUCUAAUACUGGAUAUGACUCCAUGACGCAUGUUGUGGGGUGGAAAGCCUUGUGCGGCUGAGGAUGGGCCCGCGGCCUAUCAGCUUGUUGGUGGGGUGAUGGCCUACCAAGGCGACGACGGGUAGCCGGCCUGAGAGGGCGGACCGGCCACACUGGGACUGAGACACGGCCCAGACUCCUACGGGAGGGCAGCAGUGGGGGAAUCUUGCGCAAUGGGCGAAAGCCUGACGCAGCGACGCCGCGUGAGGGAUGACGGCCU
rnacentral:rRNA from 1 species